UGCCUCUAUGUGUUGCCCGUUCAUCAGCUCUGUGGUGAUCGGGGUGUCAAAUGAGGCACACAUUGACUUUUGCGGUUGUCUGUGAAAUGAGAUUAUAAAUUGAUCAUUUACAUAAACUACUGCAAAAACAUAU